rnacentral:rRNA from 1 species
AAUCAACGCUGGCGGCGCGCCUAACACAUGCAAGUCGAACGAGAAAGCCCGCAAGGGUGAGUAAAGUGGCGUACGGGUGAGUAACACGUGGAUAAUCUACCCUCUAGUGGGGAAUACCGCUGGGAAACCGGCGACAAUACCGCAUAAGCUCGAGAGAGGAAAGCAGCAAUGCGCUGGAGGAGGAGUCCGCGGCUGAUUAGCUAGUUGGUGAGGUAAAGGCUCACCAAGGCAAAGAUCAGUAGCCGGCCUGAGAGGGCACACGGCCACACUGGCACUGAAACACGGGCCAGACUCCUACGGGAGGCAGCAGUGGGGAAUCUUGCACAAUGGGGGAAACCCUGAUGCAGCGACGCCGCGUGAGCGAUGAAGCCC